rnacentral:sRNA from 1 species
AUCAACUUUCGAUGGUAGGAUAGAGGCCUACCAUGGUGGUAACGGGUAACGGGGUGUUAGGGCACGACACCGGAGAGGGAGCCUGAGAAACGGCUACCACAUCCAAGGAUGGCAGCAGGCGCGCAAAUUACCCAAUCCCGACACGGGGAGGUAGUGACAAUAAAUAACAAUACGGGGUUCUUUCGGAUCUCGUAAUUGGAAUGAGUACAAUUUAAAUCUCUUAACGAGGAACAAUUGGAGGGCAAGUCUGGUGCCAGCAGCCGCGGUAAUUCCAGCUCCAAUAGCGUAUAUUAAAGUUGUUGCAGUUAAAAAGCUCGUAGUUGAAUUUCGGGGUCAAUAAGUUGGUCGUGCCAAUGGUAUGCACUGGCUUUAUUGAUUCCUACCUCUUGACGAACUGUGAUGCCAUUAAUUUGGUGUCGCAAGGAAUCAGGACUGUUACCUUGAAAAAAUUAGAGUGUUUAAAGCAGGCUUACGCUUGAAUACAUUAGCAUGGAAUAAUGAAAUAGGACGUUUGAACCUAUUUUGUUGGUUUCUAGGAUCGACGUAAUGAUUAAUAGGGAUAGUUGGGGGCAUUAGUAUUCAAUUGUCAGAGGUGAAAUUCUUGGAUUUAUUGAAGACUAACUACUGCGAAAGCAUUUGCCAAGGAUGUUUUCAUUAAUCAAGAACGAAAGUUAGGGGAUCGAAGACGAUCAGAUACCGUCGUAGUCUUAACCAUAAACUAUGCCGACUAGGGAUCGGAUGAUGUUAAUUUUUUAAUGACUCAUUCGGCGCCUUACGGGAAACCAAAGUGUUUGGGUUC